rnacentral:rRNA from 1 species
AGCAGUAGCCGCGGUAAUACGUAGGGUGCAAGCGUUAAUCGGAAUUACUGGGCGUAAAGCGUGCGCAGGCGGUUUCGCAAGACAGAUGUGAAAUCCCCGGGCUCAACCUGGGACCUGCAUUUGUGACUGUAUAGCUAGAGUACGGUAGAGGGGGAUGGAAUUCCGCGUGUAGCAGUGAAAUGCGUAGAUAUGCGGAGGAACACCGAUGGCGAAGGCAAUCCCCUGGACCUGUACUGACGCUCAUGCACGAAAGCGUGGGGAGCAAACAGGAUUAGAUACCCCAGUAGUCCCUGUCUCUUAUAA